rnacentral:rRNA from 1 species
UUGGUGCUGGCUCUCAUGAGCAUGUGCACGCCUAAUCCAUUUUUAACCACCUGUGCACCUUAUGUAGACUUGAACAAAUUUCGAGAUCCAUUGUGUUACUCGCUUAGAGAAUUGCUGCUGUCUGUAUAGGCCAAGCUUUUCUUGUUCUUCAAGUCUAUGUCUUUAUUACUAAACCCCAGUAUAAGAAUGUAAUUGAUAGGCUAUUGUGCCUUUAAUCACAAAUACAACUUUCAACAACGGAUCUCUUGGCUCUCGCAUCGAUGAAGAACGCAGCGAAAUGCGAUAAGUAAUGUGAAUUGCAGAAUUCAGUGAAUCAUCGAAUCUUUGAACGCACCUUGCGCUCCUUGGUAUUCUGAGGAGCAUGCCUGUUUGAGUAUCAUGAAAUUCUCAACCUUUUCUAGCUUUUGCAAGCUAGGUUGGGCUUGGAUUAUGGAAGUUGCUGGCUUGUUUGAAGCCAGCUCUUCUAAAAUGCAUUAGCAAAAGAUCAUUGCUGCUUAUCAUUUGGUAUGAUAAUUAUUUAUACCAUUGUGAGUUGGCGUUUCAUUUUGCUUCUAACUGUCUCUAUUAUAGGGGACAAAUUUGAUAAUUUUGAUCUCAAAUCAGGUAGGACUACCCGCUGAACUUAAGCAUAUCAAUAAGCGGAGGAAAAGAUACUAACAAGGAUUCCCCUAGUAACUGCGAGUGAAGCGGGAAAAGCUCAAAUUUAAAAUCUGGUGGUCUUUGGCUGCCCGAGUUGUAAUCUAGAGAAGCAUUAUCCGCGCUGGACCGUGUACAA